rnacentral:rRNA from 1 species
CCCUACGGGGGGCAGCAGCAGGGAGUUUUGCGCAAUGGGCGAAAGCCUGACGCAGCAACACCGCGUGAGGGAAGAAGGCCUUCGGGUUGUAAACCUCUUUUCUCAGGGAAGAAUAAUGACGGUACCUGAGGAAUAAGUCACGGCUAACUACGUGCCAGCAGCUGCGGUAAUACGUAGGUGGCAAGCGUUAUCCGGAUUCACUGGGCGUAAAGAGCGCGUAGGUGGUCCUUCAAGUCAGAUGUUAAAUCUCCCGGCUUAACUGGGAGUUGUCAUCUGAUACUGCUGGACUUGAGGGCGGUAGAGGGAGGUGGAAUUCCCGGUGUAGUGGUGAAAUGCGUAGAUAUCGGGAGGAACACCAGUGGCGAAAGCGGCCUCCUAGGCCGUUCCUGACACUGAGGCGCGAAAGCGUGGGGAGCGAACAGGAUUAGAUACCCCUGUAGUCCC